rnacentral:lncRNA from 1 species
GCCCCUCCACAGAAACAUUCAUUGUUGCCUUCAUUUCUGUAGGAUUAUCUUGGCGACUUUCAACGCUUUCGCUUCUUGGGCAAUUUGCUAUUGGUGUCACAGCUUCUUCUUCUCUUCUCCUUUCUUUCAUUCAUUCAUUCUUUCUUUAGAAUUUAGAUUCAAUAUAAAUUCUAAGAAGACCAGCCUUGCCAUUGCUUAUAUGGUGUUCUAGGAGCUCUCUACUGCACAUCGAGACAAUCGGCCUACCCAAGAGUUUUACACAAUAAUGAUUACCAUUGGCACCAGCCCUCCUCCAUGGAGGAGGAUUUUUUUUCUAUAUUUUGAUCUGUUGGCUACUCUAAGAAGUAGCAGAAGGCUCGAGAUCAGCAACUCUAUUUCAGUUCUUCAUGUACUUUAGCCUAGAGUUUGAGUCAACCAGAGGUCAGCUACUACACAAAUCUCUUUUACCUAAUCUAGAUGUUUCACUCUCAAAGCUUAUAGCUUAAGAGAUUCAUCUGUGAGUCUUGGGCUCCUCCUGUUCUGCUAAGCUAGCUACUGUGCUUGCUGCUUCUAGUUCCCGAUCUUCUACCUCUGGGCCCUUUGCUUCUCGUGAUUGUUCUAGCUGUCAUGCAUUUCAGCCUGGGUACCGCUGUUGCCAUGCCUGGGGCCAUAUGCUCAAGGAUUAUGCCAAGA